rnacentral:rRNA from 1 species
UAUGGGCGAGAGCCUGAACCAGCCNAGUAGCGUGAAGGAUGAAGGCUCUAUGGGUCGUAAACUUCUUUUAUAUGGGAAUAAAGUAUUCCACGUGUGGAAUUUUGUAUGUACCAUAUGAAUAAGGAUCGGCUAACUCCGUGCCAGCAGCCGCGGUAAUACGGAGGAUCCNAGCGUUAUCCGGAUUUAUUGGGUUUAAAGGGAGCGUAGGUGGAUUGUUAAGUCAGUUGUGAAAGUUUGCGGCUCAACCGUAAAAUUGCAGUUGAAACUGGCAGUCUUGAGUACAGUAGAGGUGGGCGGAAUUCGUGGUGUAGCGGUGAAAUGCUUAGAUAUCACGAAGAACUCCGAUUGCGAAGGCAGCUCACUAGACUGUUACUGACACUGAUGCUCGAAAGUGUGGGUAUCAAACAGGAUUAGAUACCCUGGUAGUCCAAGGGCGAAUUC